AUUGAACGCUGGCGGCAUGCCUUACACAUGCAAGUCGAACGGCAGCACGGGUGCUUGCACCUGGUGGCGAGUGGCGAACGGGUGAGUAAUAUAUCGGAACGUACCUUAUUGUGGGGGAUAACGCAGCGAAAGCUGUGCUAAUACCGCAUAAUCCCUAAGGGGGAAAGCGGGGGACCGUAAGGCCUCGCGCAAUUAGAGCGGCCGAUACCUGAUUAGCUAGUUGGUGAGGUAAAGGCCCACCAAGGCAACGAUCAGUAGCUGGUCUGAGAGGACGAUCGGCCCCACUGGGACUGAGAAACGGCCCAGACUCCUAGGGGAGGCAGCAGUGGGGAAUUUUGGACAAUGGGGGAAACCCUGAUCCAGCAAUGCCGCGUGGGUGAAGAAGGCCUUCGGGUUGUAAAGCUCUUUUGUCAGGGAAGAAACAGCAGCUCUAACACAGUAUGCGAAUGACGGUACCUGAAGAAUAAGCACCGGCUAACUACGUGCCAGCCGCCGCCGUAA
rnacentral:rRNA from 1 species